rnacentral:rRNA from 1 species
GAUGAACGCUGGCGGCGUGCCUAAUACAUGCAAGUCGAGCGAACGGACGAGAAGCUUGCUUCUCUGAUGUUAGCGGCGGACGGGUGAGUAACACGUGGAUAACCUACCUAUAAGACUGGGAUAACUUCGGGAAACCGGAGCUAAUACCGGAUAAUAUUUUGAACCGCAUGGUUCAAAAGUAAAAGACGGUCUUGCUGUCACUUAUAGAUGGAUCCGCGCUGCAUUAGCUAGUUGGUAAGGUAACGGCUUACCAAGGCAACGAUGCAUAGCCGACCUGAGAGGGUGAUCGGCCACACUGGAACUGAGACACGGUCCAGACUCCUGCGGGAGGCAGCAGUAGGGAAUCUUCCGCAAUGGGCGAAAGCCUGACGGAGCAACGCCGCGUGAGUGAUGAAGGUCUUCGGAUCGUAAAACUCUGUUAUUAGGGAAGAACAUAUGUGUAAGUAACUGUGCACAUCUUGACGGUACCUAAUCAGAAAGCCACGGCUAACUACGUG